AGAGUUUGAUCCUGGCUCAGGACAAACGCUGGCGGCGUGCUUAACACAUGCAAGUCGAACGGUCACUCUUCGGAGUGAUAGUGGCGGACGGGUGAGUAACACGUAGUUGACCUACCCUGGUGUGGGGAAUAACCCCUCGAAAGAGGAGCUAAUACCGCAUACGUUCUCUGGUGUGGGCCAGAGAAGAAACCCUUUUCUUUGGAAGAGGGGCACAAGGAUGGGACUGCGGCGGAUUAGCUAGAUGGUGGGGUAACGGCCUACCAUGGCGACGAUCCGUAGCUGGUCUGAGAGGACGACCAGCCACACUGGGACUGAGACACGGCCCAGACUCCUACGGGAGGCAGCAGUGAGGAAUAUUCCACAAUGGGCGAAAGCCUGAUGGAGCGACGCCGCGUGAGGGAAGAAGCCUUUCGGGGUGUAAACCUCUUUUCUUGGGGAUGACACACCCUCUCACGAGGGUUAGGACAGUACCCGAGGAAUAAGCAUCGGCUAACUACGUGCCAGCAGCGGCGGUAAUUC
rnacentral:rRNA from 1 species